AGAGUUUGAUCCUGGCUCAGGACGAACGCUGGCGGCGUGCUUAACACAUGCAAGUCGAACGAUGAAACUUCCAUGAUCUAUUCGUAGAGAUUGGGAGCGGAUUAGUGGCGAACGGGUGAGUAACGCGUGAGCAACCUGCCUUAAACAACGGGAUAGCCUCGGGAAACCGGGAUUAAUACCGUAUGAGACCCCGCCUUCACAUGAAGAAGAGGUUAAAGAUUUAUCGGUUUAAGAUGGGCUCGCGUCUGAUUAGCUAGUUGGUGAGAUAAAAGCCCACCAAGGCAACGAUCAGUAACCGGCUUGAGAGAGUGAACGGUCACAUUGGAACUGAGACACGGUCCAAACUCCUACGGGAGGCAGCAGUGGGGAAUAUUGCACAAUGGGGGAAACCCUGAUGCAGCGACGCCGCGUGAGCGAUGAAGGAAUUCGUUUCGUAAAGCUCUGUCCUAGGGGAAGAUAAUGACAGUACCCUUGGAGGAAGCCCCGGCUAAAUACGUGCCAGCAGCCGCGGUAAUACGUAUGGGGCGAGCGUUGUCCGGAAUUAUUGGGCGUAAAGGGUACGUAGGCGGUUUCAUAAGUCAGAUGUAAAAGCGUGGGGCUCAACCCCAUAAAGCAUUUGAAACUGUGGAACUUGAGUAGUGGAGAGGAAAGUGGAAUUCCUAGUGUAGCGGUGAAAUGCGUAGAUAUUAGGAGGAAUACCAGUGGCGAAGGCGACUUUCUGGACACAAACUGACGCUGAGGUACGAAAGCAUGGGGAGCAAACAGGAUUAGAUACCCUGGUAGUCCAUGCCGUAAACGAUGAAUGCUAGGUGUCGGGGGUCAAACCUCGGUGCCGCAGUUAACACAGUAAGCAUUCCGCCUGGGGAGUACGUGGCAACACUGAAACUCAAAGGAAUUGACGGGACC
rnacentral:rRNA from 1 species